AUGUACAGAAAAUGUCCCAAAAUGUCCCUAAAAUGUCCCCAAAUGUCCCAAAAUGUCCCCAAAUGUCCCCAAAUGUCCCCAAAUGUCCCCAAAGGUCCCUCAGAAGUCCCAGAUGUCCCCCAGCCCCGCCCGGCCGUGGCCGAGGCCGAAGCCGCGGAUCCGACGUCGUUCGGAGCGGCCGGAGCGGCUCUGGAGCUCCACACGCACCUGGUGGCCACCAAAAGCCUGGUGGCCACCAAAAGCCUGGUGGCCACCAAAGUUCUGGGCCUGGUGGUCACCAAAACCUUGGUGGCCACCAAAAUUCUGGGUCUGGUGGUCACCAGGGCGACCAAAACCUUGGUGGCCACCAAAAUUCUGGGUCUGGUGGUCACCAAAACCUUGGUGGCCUCCAAAAUUCUGGGUCUGGUGGCCACCAAAAUUCUGGGUCUGGUGGUCAUCAAAACCUUCGUGGCCACCAAAAUUCUGGGCCUGGUGGUCACCCAAACCUUGGUGGCCACCAAAAUUCUGGGCCUGGUGGUCACCAAAAUUCUGGGUCUGGUGGUCACCAAAAUUCUGGGUCUGGUGGUCACCAAAAUUCUGGGUCUGGUGGUCACCAAAAUUCUGGGUCUGGUGGUCACCAAAAUUCUGGGUCUGGUGGCCACCAAAAUUCUGGGCCUGGUGGUCACCCAAAUUCUGGGCCUGGUGGUCAUCCAAACCUUGGUGGUCACCAAAAUUCUGGGCCUGGUGGUCACCAGGGCGACCAGAACCUUGUUGGUCACCAAAAUUCUGGGUCUGGUGGUCACCAAAACUUUGGUGGUCAUCAAAACCUUGGUGGUCACCAAAACCUUGGUGGUCACCAAGAUUUGGGACAUUGGGGUCAUGGUGGCCACCAAAAUUCUGGGCCUGGUGGUCACUGGGGCGACCAAAACGUUGGUGGUCAUCCAACCCUUGGUGGUCAUCGUGGUCACCAAGAUUUGGGGUCUUGGGGUCAUGGUGGCCACCAAAAUUCUGGUGGUCAUUGUGGCCACUGACGCCAUCUUGGUGGCCACCAACCCGUUGACCACCACCCCAAUGGUCACCACCACCAUCUUGGUGGCCACCGCCGCCAUCUUGGUGGCCACUGACCCAUUGACCACCCCUCCUACAGCCACAACCACCUUGACCCCUCUUGCAGUGGCCACCGCCGCCAUCUUGGUGGCCAAUGACCCCUUGACCCUCGUCCCAAUGGCCACUGCCGCCAUCUUGGUGGCCACCAACCCGUUGACCACCAACCCAUUGGUCACGGCCGCCAUCUUGGUGCCCACCACUGCCAUCUUGGUAGCCACCGCCGCCAUCUUGGUGACCACUGACCCCAUUUUGGUGGCUACUGCCGCCAUCUUGGUGACCACUGCCGCCAUCUUGGUGGCCACCAACCUCUUGACCACCAACCCAGUGGCCAUCGCCGCCAUCUUGGUGACCACAACCACCAUCUUGGUGACCACCAACCCCUUGACCACCAACCCAUUGGCCACCGCCGCCAUCUUGGUGACCACAAUGGCCAUCUUGGUGCCCACCGCCGCCAUCUUGGUGGCCCAUGACCCCUUGACCACCACCCCAGUGGCCAUGGCCGCCAUCUUGGUAGCCAUGGCCGCCAUCUUGGUGACCACAACCGCCAUCUUGGUGACCACCACCGCCAUCUUGGUGGCCACUGCUGCCAUCUUGGUGGCAACCAACGCCAUCUUGGUGACCACAACGGCCAUCUUGGUGACCACCAACCCAUUGACCACCACCCCAGUGGCCAUGGCCGCCAUCUUGGUGGCCACUGCCGCCAUCUUGGUGGCCAAUGACCCCUUGACGACCACCCCAGUGGCCACCGCCGCCAUCUUGGUGGCCAAUGACCCUUUGACCCAUGUCCCAUUGGCCACCGCCGCCAUCUUGGUGACCCCCGCCGCCAUCUUGGUGGCCACAACGGCCAUCUUGGUAGCCACCGCCGCCAUCUUGGUGCCCACCCCCCCCAUCCCACCACCCGCCCUCGUUGCCCACCCUCAUGCCGCGCUUGCCCAACGCCACCCGCGGCCGCCCUCGCUCCAGCGCGGCCACCAGCACGCACGCCAUGCACAUCUCCCCGCUGGCGGCGCCGCCGCAACUCCGGCACGCCCCCGGCGCCGCCCCCGCGCCCGGCGCCGCGCCCAGCGCCAACCGCCGGCCCGAAUGCGCCAACGCGGCCACGGCGGCCGGCCGGGCGGCCUCCAGGUCCUUCAGCAGCGCCCGCGGGUGGCCGCGGAACGCCAGCGGCGCGUGCCGGCACUCGGCGCUGGCGUAGGGCAGCCCCAGGAAAUGCGCGUAGAGGACGAUCUCCUUCUGCGCCGCGUGGCGCAGCGGCUUCAGCCGCGGCACCGUUGGCCACGGAGAGGCCGGGUUGGGUUUCCCCGAGGGCGCCUUGGGGAGCGGUGGGGUCUUGGUGGGUUUUGGUGA
ensembl:lncRNA